CUUUUUCGUUUUUCAGCCCACUAUCGCCCUCUCACAGAGCGACCUAGGCGAAACAGCCGUCCCGCAGAGCGCCGCCACUAAAGGAGCCUGAAGCAGCACCGCCGUUGAAGGAGCCUGAAGCAACGCCGCCCCUUCCCUCCUCUCGCUCGCUUGAGGAGCGCGGCCGCCGCGACCCCUCGGCCGAUCUACGCGGGCGGCGACCCUCGGCACCAUGAUCUUGGAGAAACAGGUCCUGUCGUUCGCGAAGGCGGUCGAGGACAUCACCGCACUCGAGCGUCUUGGCCCGGACGACAUCGAGGCGUUCCGCGAGCGCCGAAUGCUGCAGAUGCGCCGCGUGGCCGAGCGCCAGCCCAAGUGGUGUGCCCUGGGCACGGCGAGUAUGCCGAGGUCCUCGAGAAAGAGUUCUUCUCCGUCGGCAUGGCCGGCGAGCUCCUCGUGACUUCUACCGUGGCAACUGGCUGUGCAAGGUACACCAACACCAUCCCUCAGUUUGCAUCGUGCGAACCCUACACAUGGCCGCUGCGGCCGGCGGCUGGCGGUGAAAGAUCUGGUGGAUGCAAAAGACGUUUAUGGUCCCAUCUCCAUGUUUGGUCGCACCACGGUACUCCAGAAUGGCUACUGGCAAGUUUUUGUGGAACGCCUCCCUGCUUCCACUCCCAUCCUCCCCUAAACAGUACGUCUACACUCAUGUGCCUCCUACCUGCACUGGUUGAUGGAUCUCGAACCACUAAUUUGAACCUUACUUCUUUUGAAUGGAUGAGUAUUUGUGAAUUCCCUGGUACCAAUCUUUUGAAAAGGUGGAGCUCAUUAUGUGCUAUUUUUGUCAUGUAUGAUCUGGACAGGUAAAGGUUAUCAGCUAGGUGGUUUUGCAUAUCCAAAAUUUUCACAUGAGCUAGGUGGUUAAGGAAGUUGUUUGAGGAUUUAUUUGGAAGACUGCUUCAUUCUAUCAUUUCUUUGUGCUUAUCAGUUUGAUAUCCUUACUUAUUCGAGUUUGAUUCCAACUAUGCUGAUGUAGUUAAUUAUAUACAUAUUAGUGUAAUUCAUGUACUUGCUCUUGCCUGAUUCCCCUCUGUAUAAAUGUGUCUAUCUAUUAAUGAAUAUCUCUCUGAUAUCAACGAAUGACAUACAUUCAAACAGUUAGCUAGAUCUUGCCACUUUACUAUCAAAGGCAACUAACUGAAAAUUUGUAACUUCACGUUGCAAGAUAAGGGCCUCUGUUGACAGCAUUUCCCUCCCAAAACUGAAGUCCUAUUCAAAUCGGUGCCAAGGUUAAUCUCGAGUCAAGGGAAGCCCCUGAAUUGAUUAAAUAGAAUACUGAAAAAAAUAAGAAGUUACCCUUUUAGAAUUUCAACCAUUAUAUCACUGCAUCAUGAUGUUUUGCAAAACACGGUCUAUGGGACCGUGGGAUUUAUAUUCAGCCAUCCAUCUUUGUGUCCUUCAAAUUCUCAACGAUACAUGGACCUUGACUAGCCGCCGGCACUCAUCGCCACCUUUUUACGUGUGUGGCAGCCUUUCUUCGGUUGCUGGCACCCAACUGUAUUCCUCUUCCCCGCCUUUAGAUCUUUAGCUGCUCUGUUUAGUUAACAACUUAAUGUAUGUUUCGACAGGAUUGGGUUGAUUUCUAUGUCAUGCGGUUCACUAAGUUAAGAAAUAUUAUCCAUGUUUCAAAUUGAAGUGACAACUGUAUGUACAUGUGAGCGGAAUUGCUCUGCAUUUUUGGCACAUACUUUUCUUAAGAUGA